rnacentral:rRNA from 1 species
UACGGAGGGGGCUAGCGUUGUUCGGAAUUACUGGGCGUAAAGCGCACGUAGGCGGAUUUGUAAGUCAGGGGUGAAAGUCCCGGGGCUCGAACCUCGGAACUGCCUUUGAUACUGCAAAUCUCGAGUCCGGAAGAGGUGAGUGGAAUUCCGUAGUGUAGAGGUGAAAUUCGUAGAUAUUAGGAAGAACACCAGUGGCGAAGGCGGCUCACUGGUCCGGUACUGACGCUGAGGUGCGAAAGCGUGGGGAGCAAACAGG